AGUGAACGCUGGCGGUAGGCCUAACACAUGCAAGUCGAACGGCAGCACAGUAAGAGCUUGCUCUUACGGGUGGCGAGUGGCGGACGGGUGAGGAAUACAUCGGAAUCUACUUUUUCGUGGGGGAUAACGUAGGGAAACUUACGCUAAUACCGCAUACGACCUACGGGUGAAAGCAGGGGAUCUUCGGACCUUGCGCGAUUGAAUGAGCCGAUGUCGGAUUCGCUAGUUGGCGGGGUAAAGGCCCACCAAGGCGACGAUCCGUAGCUGGUCUGAGAGGAUGAUCAGCCACACUGGAACUGAGACACGGUCCAGACUCCUACGGGAGGCAGCAGUGGGGAAUAUUGGACUAUGGGCGCAAGCCUGAUCCAGCCCUACCGCGUGGGUGAAGAAGGCCUUCGGGUUGUAAAGCCCUUUUGUUGGGAAAGAAAAGCAGCAGGUUAAUACCCCGCUGUUCUGACGGUACCCAAAGAAUAAGCACCGGCUAACUUCGUG
rnacentral:rRNA from 1 species